GCUGGAGUUACUAGUAAUCGCAGAUCAGAAUGCUGCGGUGAAUGCGUUCCCGGGUCUUGUACACACCGCCCGUCACACCACGGGAGUUGGAGACGCCCGAAGCCGACUAUCUAACCUUUUGGAAGAAGUCGUCGAAGGUGGAAUCAAUAACUGGGGUGAAGUCGUAACAAGGUAGCCGUAUCGGAAGGUGCGGCUGGAUCACCUCCUUUCUAA
rnacentral:rRNA from 1 species